GGACGGGGUAGACCAACAGGGAUUGCCUUAGUAACUGCGAGUGAAGCGGCAAAAGCUCAAAUUUGAAAUCUGACGUUUUUGACGUCCGAGUUGUAAUUUGGAGGGAUAUCUUCGGAGCUGGCGCCGUCCUAAGUUCUUUGGAACCAGACAUCAUAGAGGGUGAGAAUCCCGUGCCUGGAUGGCUGUCCUGCUCCAUGUGAAGUGUCUCCGACGAGUCGAGUUGUUUGGGAAUGCAGCUCAAAAUGGGUGGUAAAUUUCAUCUAAAGCUAAAUAUUGGCGAGAGACCGAUAGCGCACAAGUAGAGUGAUCGAAAGAUGAAAAGCACUUUGAAAAGAGAGUUAAAUAGUACGUGAAAUUGUUGAAAGGGAAGCGCUUGAGACUAGAUUCGGCCGGCGGUUAUCAGCCACGUUUUUACGUGGUGCACUUGCCGUCGGUUGAGCCAGCAUCGGUUCUGAUGGUGGGAUAAAGGUUUCAGGAAUGUGGCUCCUCGAUUUCGGGGAGUGUUAUAGCCUGGAGCGCAAUGCCGCCUGUUGGGACCGAGGACCGCGCUUUCGCUAGGAUGCUGGCUAAAAGGUCUUAAGCGGCCCGUCUUGAAACACGGACCAAGGAGUCUAACAUCUAUGCGAGUGUUCGGGUGGAAAACCCUUGCGCGUAAUGAAAGUGAACGGAGGUGGGAACCCCUCGGGGUGCACCAUCGACCGAUCCUGAUGUUUACGGAAGGAUUUGAGUAGGAGCAUAGCUGUUGGGACCCGAAAGAUGGUGAACUAUGCCUGAAUAGGGUGAAGCCAGAGGAAACCUUGGUGGAAGCUCGCAGCGGUUCUGACGUGCAAAUCGAUCGUCAAAUUUGGGUAUAGGGGCGAAAGACUAAUCGAACCAUCUUGGGCCG
rnacentral:rRNA from 1 species